rnacentral:rRNA from 1 species
CACAUGCAAGUCGAACGGAAAGGCCCUGCUUUUGUGGGGAGCUUGAGAGGCGAACGGGUGAGUAACACGUGAGUAACCUGCCCUUGACUUUGGGAUAACUUCAGGAAACUGGGGCUAAUACCGGAUAGGAGCUCCUGCUGCAUGGUGGGGGUUGGAAAGUUUCGGCGGUAGGGGAUGGACUCGCGGCUUAUCAGCUUGUUGGAGGGAGUAGUGGCUUACCAAGGCUUUGACGGGUAGCCGGCCUGAGAGGGUGACCGGCCACAUUGGGACUGAGAUACGGCCCAGACUCCUACGGGAGGCAGCAGUGGGGAAUAUUGCACAAUGGGCGGAAGCCUGAUGCAGCAACGCCGCGUGCGGGAUGACGGCCUUCGGGUUGUAAACCGCUUUCGCCUGUGACGAAGCGUGAGUGACGGUAAUGGGUAAAGAAGCACCGGCUAACUACGUGCCAGCAGCCGCGGUGAUACGUAGGGUGCGAGCGUUGUCCGGAUUUAUUGGGCGUAAAGGGCUCGUAGGUGGUUGAUCGCGUCGGAAAUGUAAUCUUGGGGCUUAACCCUGAGCGUGCUUUCGAUACGGGUUGACUUGAGGAAGGUAGGGGAGAAUGGAAUUCCUGGUGGAGCGGUGGAAUGCGCAGAUAUCAGGAGGAACACCAGUGGCGAAGGCGGUUCUCUGGGCCUUUCCUGACGCUGAGGAGCGAAAGCGUGGGGAGCGAACAGGCUUAGAUACCCUGGUAGUCCACGCUGUAAACGGUGGGUACUAGGUGUGGGGUCCAUUCCACGGGUUCCGUGCCGUAGCUAACGCUUUAAGUACCCCGCCUGGGGAGUACGGCCGCAAGGCUAAAACUCAAAGGAAUUGACGGGGCCCCGCACAAGCGGCGGAGCAUGCGGAUUAAUUCGAUGCAACGCGUAGAACCUUACCUGGGUUUGACAUGGAUCGGGAGUGCUCAGAGAUGGGUGUGCCUCUUUUGGGGUCGGUUCACAGGUGGUGCAUGGCUGUCGUCAGCUCGUGUCGUGAGAUGUUGGGUUAAGUCCCGCAACGAGCGCAACCCUUGUUCACUGUUGCCAGCACGUUAUGGUGGGGACUCAGUGGAGACCGCCGGGGUCAACUCGGAGGAAGGUGGGGAUGACGUCAAGUCAUCACGCCCCUUAUGUCCAGGGCUUCACGCAUGCUACAAUGGCUGGUACAGAGAGUGGCGAGCCUGUGAGGGUGAGCGAAUCUCGGAAAGCCGGUCUCAGUUCGGAUUGGGGUCUGCAACUCGACCUCAUGAAGUCGGAGUCGCUAGUAAUCGCAGAUCAGCAACGCUGCGGUGAAUACGUUCCCGGGGCUUGUACACACCGCCCGUCAAGUCAUGAAAGUUGGUAACACCCGAAGCCGGUGGCCUAACCGUUGUGGGGGAGCCGUCGAAGGUGGGACUGGUGAUUAGGACU